rnacentral:rRNA from 1 species
UACGUAGGGCGCGAGCGUUGUCCGGAAUUAUUGGGCGUAAAGAGCUCGUAGGCGGCUUGUCGCGUCGGAUGUGAAAAGCCCGGGGCUUAACUCCGGGUCUGCAUUCGAUAUGGGCAGGCUAGAGUUCGGUAGGGGAGAUCGGAAUUCCUGGUGUAGCGGUGAAAUGCGCAGAUAUCAGGAGGAACACCGGUGGCGAAGGCGGAUCUCUGGGCCGAUACUGACGCUGAGGAGCGAAAGCGUGGGGAGCAAACAGG